GGGUUCUAACUGCACACAGACAAACAAAUACACUGCAUCCUAACUGCACCCAGAGAGAGAGAGAGAUACACUGCAUCCUGCAUCCUAACUGCACUCCGAGAGAGAGACACUGCAUUCUAAAUGUACUCAGAGAGAGAGAUACACUGCAUCCUAACUGCACUCAUAUACACUGCAUUCUGACUGCACUCAGAGAGAGAGAGAUACACUGCAUUCUAACUGCACCCACAGAGAGAGAUAAACUGCAUUCUAACUGCACCCAGAGAGAGAGAUACACUGCAUCCUAACUGCACUCAGAUACACUGCAUUCUGACUGCACUCAGAGAGAGAGAUACACUGCAUCCUAACUGCACACACAGAGAGAGAUACACUGCAUUCUAACUGCACCCAGAGAGAGUGAAAGAUAAACUGCAUCCUAACUGCACCCAGAGAGCGAGAGAUACACUGCAUCCUAACUGCACCCAGAGAGAGAGAGACACACUGCAUCCUAACUGCACCCACAGAGAGAGAUACACUGCAUUCUAACUGCACCCAGAGAGAGAGAAAGAUACACUGCAUCAUAACUGCACCCAGAGAGAGAGAUACACUGCAUCCUAAUUGCACCCAGAGAGAGAGAGAGAUACACUGCAUUCUAACUGCACUCAGAGAGAGAUACUCUGCAUCCUAACUGCAUCCAGAGA